UUUUAAAUGUAAAUUAAUCAACUAAAUUAUUAAUAGUUAAGUUCUUUAAAUUUAAAAAAUUUGGCGGUAUUUUAGUCUUUUCAGAGGAACCUGUUCUAUAAUUGAUAGUCCACGAUUAGUAUUACUUAAUUUAAAAAAGUUUGUAUAUCGUUGUUUUAAAAAUUUUAUAAGAAUAAAAAUUUUUAGUAAAUUAAAUUAAAUUAAUAAUCAAAUCAAGGUGCAGUUUAUAAUUAAGUAGAAAUGGGUUACAAUAGUAAUUAAUUAAAUGGAUUAAGUUUUUAAAUAAAUUUAUGAAGGUGGAUUUGAAAGUAAUUAUAUUAAUUUAAAUAUAGUGAUUUUAGCUCUAAAAUAUGU
rnacentral:rRNA from 1 species